AAGAGCAAGAACGAAGCCCCAUCGGCCGCCAGAGUGGUAGCGAGAACGGCAGUGGAGAGGAGUGGAGUGUAGGUAGAGUGAGUGGAGCUCGUUGCUCGCGGUGUUGUUUUUAGGACGAUGACUCACACAUACACAAACAUAUGCACAGCAAGAGGCAAGAGUGGGAGGGAGAGAACUAGCACUUGAACUGUUGCUUAUCAGACUGAAAUGAGAGCACUUUUGCCUCUGCCUCUGCCUGCAUGUGGUGUCCAUGUGUGCAGUAUGUUUCUGGCGAAGCACCCUGUAACUACGUUUUGCGCCGCUUGCGUCCAGCAUUCUUGCACGUCGUCAAAUGGCAAAGACAAGCCAACGGCAACCGCAAUAAAUGGAUAAAAGCCUCAGGAGUCGAAGCGUUAGAUACUCUUGCAGAUCGACACUUUUCUGCGGGAACUGCAUAUGCAGUGCACAUGUGUCCACAGCAAGACAAACCGCUGGUCGAAGUCAUAACUGCCUCUGCAAGAGUAUAAAAUCGUUUAAGAUCAAAAACAAAUGUUUGACCGUUUCUGACAAGCCGCAGUCUGGAGAAGAGAGAUAAAGAGAGAUGGAACGUUCACCCACACCAGCAAGUAAGUACAUACAUACAUAUUUAUGUAUAAGCGCUUGACAUAUUUACGUGACCGCGCGAGAGGGAGAGAGAGAGAGGAAGAACAGCUAAUUGAGAGCUAGAAUCAACGUUGCGCCUGCGUCGCUCUUCGCUUCAAAUUUUUAUUGGAAAUUUCCGUUCUACAGUUUGGAAAUUCCUCUCUCUGGCUUCGGCUCGCGAGUCUUGACAUUUGACAUGACGAUGGGGGAAGUGAUUUUUAUGGGUUUGUUUGUUUCUUGUUGUGGUUACAGUCCCCGUAGCCCCAAAUAUUGCCCAGCCCCCGCAUCGUCACUAUCCAGCACUGAUAAGGGCUCGCUCCCAUGUUUGUGUACAUUUGUUUUAUGAUUUCUCUCUCGUAUUUCACUGUUUACAAUUCAAGCAAAUCGUGAUGGUGUUGAGGCGCGGGGGUCUGGGAGUUCUAUCGCUUUACAUAACACUUGUGGGAACCCGGACAGGGCAACCUUUGCGCCUUGGUCUGGAUUGAUAGCAGCUCCGGGUCCAGUCCAUAAAUUAUCUGGCCCUGUCGUUGAGUAAAUAAACACUUGUUAGAACUAACACAUACGCUUGGGUUCCGAUAGAGUCGUUAUUUGCACUGCAUUUAUCGAGGCUCUCCCUCUGUGGAGAGGCGCUUGUUCACUGCUCCUUCAAGACGCGGUCCUAAUUCAUAGCCUUGUGUGAGUGUGUGUGGUCUAUCAGUGCACACGGAAGUUCCUCUUCUCUUUUCUACUUCCGUGUUUGUGUUCUACCUUGGCUGGGAUGUGGAUCCCAUAGCGGUACAAUUAAGUUCUUCUACCUCUCCCCUUUAGUCCUUUGUCCUGCCUGGAUUUCCGCUACGCAUGCGCUGGAAGCGUGCACAACAUCCGCUCCUCGCGAACCGUUUAGUUCCGUCCCGUUCCGUUCUGAGCCAUUCCCGCAAAUCUUUCGUUUCGCCUUUUGUUGUGCAUUUUACAGUUGGAAUUGCCAUUGUCCCGACAUCCUGGGAACCCAAGCUAUUAACAGGUGUCCCCACCCCAGCUCUCUCUCUCUCUCCCAGGCGAAUCAUUUGCGAAGGUGUGAAACUUAUUCGAAGAGUUUUGAGGGUGGAUCUUUGCUGUUUUUGUCGUCUGAGCAAAAGGGAAUCCUAAUUGAUUUGUUGUUCAUUUGAAUUGUGGAGCAGCUCAACACAAUUAUGAGUUCACUUAGUUAUAAAAUACAUAUGGAAAAUGUACAUAUGAUAACAUAUAAAUAUCCACCAAUUCUGACCCAAUUGCGGUUUUCUGCACACAUCUUUUCGUAUUGUAAUUUUUCUCAGUGAUUUGUGGAGACCGACCUGAUGGUCCAUCGCAUAAUCUACAAGCUGUCAAAGCACUUGACAUAUGUUCUCAAGUACACAUAAAAGAAACCACACAAUUAUGCUACGUAAUCGUUCUCCAUAACAAAGAACACAAAAGACCAAAAAUCAAAAUCGAAUGAGGGCUAUUUUGAGUAUAAUUUCAGUUAAUUGGGGGACAGUCGGAUCAGAACAGAAGAGAUUUGUGGUUUGUGGCUGCCGGUGUGACCCUGGAAACAGAUUUCAUUGGACAUUGACAGUUUUGUCGGUUAUGCAAACCCAAUUUGGGUCACUUCACAGCAGUUGAAAAGAGCUGAAGAGGGCAUUGGAGGGAGGGCUGGGAGGCGCCUCUUCGAGUGAGUUGAAUGUAGGUUAGGUGGAUGCUGAUGCUGCCCAGUGGUGUAGACAGUCAUUGGUGGGGGGGACAGGGAGCUUUGUGCUUAGUGCUUUGGAACCCUGCUGGCAGACGGCACUGCUGGGGAUAAGGAUGAUGCGGCUGUAGCCGUCGGUGGCUUGUCGGGCUUUUGUGCUGCAUCUUGGCUUGUGCCAGCAGCCAGCCCCUUUUGUGUGUGCGUCUGUGUCAUUGAAUGCGUUUGCAUGCUGAGUGGUGCUCAUCCAUGGUCCAUGUUUGAUGGUUUCUACACCAUUUCCGCACCCGUCUCCACCGUCUGCGUUGCCCCAUUUGGACCCCAUUCAGUCACAGAGCUCAUAAUUGAUGUUCAAACUGAUGUUGAGGCUGGGGCAGGAGCAUGAGCACAAGCACUUGCCACAAAUUCUUUCUGCUGCUGGUGCUGCUGGUGCUGGUGCCGAGGAGGCCCUCAAUUGUGACACGUUUUGUCCGGCAUUACUCGCAUUAUUGUUAUUGCUAUUGUGAUUCCGGGCAGAUGAUGGUUUUGUUGUGCCACAUAACAUUGAUUUAAUUAACUUAAAUUAAACAAGCGGAAGCUGUCACAAACAGAGACGCAGACAGAGACAGAGAGAGAGUGCGGGAGAGACAGAAAACUGAGUUCCAUCACGCCUUCAAUGGAGUUCCUGAGCGUGCCACACGUGCCAGGAAAUCAUCUGCUGCUGAGGUGGCAAGAAAUACGUUGCUUCGGGACUAAUUUCCCGGCUCAACAAUGCAGCAGCUACACAUAUUAUUGAGCCACGCGGCAAAGGACGAAAAAUCCAAUGAACGAAGGUACACAAACGAGGGUCUUCGCUCCACAAUGAGGGUCCUGCAAUGAGCAUUACCUUGCUCCAUCCCUCUCCAGCUCCUGCUCAUUCUCGGGGUUGCAGUUGCGUUGCACAUUGAGCCGCAACGAGAGAGAGAGAGAGGACGACUCAUCAGCGGCGUCCUGUUUGGGUAAUUGUUAUCAGUGAUCCUGAAAUGAACGUUACUUUGAGUCCGGGGCCCGGUGUUCUGCCUUCCCUUGGCACGCGCCAAAACGAUCUCUCCCCUCUCUCCUGUUCCCAUCUCGAACAUCUGUUCGUCCUCGUCUUUUUACUUUGGCCUGCAGGACAUGCUCUGGCAUUUCAGUUUCGACUGAACGUCACUUUUUAGUAAUUGAAAGGGAAGCAGAGAUUCCGCUUGUUUUAGGGAACUGUGGGAAAGGUCGCGCGGUUCCUUGGGACCGCCUUCGGGGUCUCAAAUCUGUCAGAAUCUUUCAGUAUAUUUUUAGGAGAAUAUUUAAAAAUUUGACAUUAAUCUUAGGAAUGGAAAAAAACAAUAUUUUUGUUGGUGACAAGCACAAGAAAUAUUUGAAAUGCUAUAAAAAACAAAGCAGAGAAGAACAUGGAGAAAUCAGAAGAAAUCUUUGGGCAAAUUUAAAAUCGUUUUAACACACUCUGAGCAUCAGGGAAUGCUCUUAAAGAUUCUUAGACAUCUUUUGCACCCUUCCUUUUGAAGUGCUCUACCCUAUAGUCCACUCAAACUCAAAUGCUCUUCCAAAACUCACUCAAAAUUACGCUCCACUCAACUCACUUCCUUGAGUCGGAGCGAGGCUGGGCGUGAAAUGUGCCAGCCCCGGAGUUCCAUUGAAAUCAGCGGCAGAGCAAAGUUCUCUAACCAUUUUCAUGGUUGCCAGCAAAUUAUCUAUUCGGGGUUUUCUAAGAGACUAGAUUCUGGACUGUGGGCCCCGGCCGCGAUGGCCAAAACCGAGCAGCGCUGACCACAGCAAGUGUCGACCAGAGGAUGACACUCCCCGGAGGAGAGUCCUGGUCCACCACUCAUAAACACAUUAUGCAUGCCGCCCUGGGGGGUGCUCGGCCUGAUCGCCGGAUCACUAUUUUUGCUGUGAGUCGUUGUGAAUGCGAAAAAGUGUCAAUAAAACCAUAACGCGUUUUCCUGGAAAGCGUAAAAUCAGGUAACGCCCACCACUGACAUGCCGGAACCUUCGCUCUAUCUACCCGACUUUGAGUCCGACUUCGACUUCGACUUCGACUCUGAGCCUGUGUCGUCCGGACGACACCGGACCGACAGACAGUCUUGUUUUGACAAUUUCCAUUCUUUGAACGAUUUUUGUAGGCGAACCAUAAAGCGAUUAUGAUUGGGAAAAUAGUUUUGGGAAAGUAAUUCUACUUUGUUCCUCGAAGGAAAGCAGAAACUAAUUACCGCUGAUGAUACGCUGUUUGUUCGAAACUCGACCAAAAAAUGAACCUCGUUCUGCAUAAAUAAACCAUUUAUUAAAAGUAUCACUCGGCCAGAACGAAUCGAACAAGAAGGCUCGGCUCUGCUAGCUUGAAGUCUUGGGGGUUGUCUUGUAGCUUGAUAGGAAAGGCAGGAAUCGGAUCGCAUGGCAGCCCGUGGCCAGGUGUGCGCCGAGUCGUGUGACGACACAUCUCACAGCUCACAGCUCACAGCUCAGGAAAGGACUUAUUUUUUUAUGCAUGCGUACGAGUAAAAUCCUUCUUGGCUUGGGUCUGGCCUGAGACAAAAAAAGAAACAGGAGAAAAGUUCGCUGCGCAUGCGCAGCCCUGUGCCACCACCCCUUGGCGAGUUGCCUUUGUUUGACGCUUGUGAAAUCUUUUGCGAAAUGUACAACCAGAGGGGUGGCUUUGCCAGUUGCUGCCGCAGCCGAAGGGACUGGGGGAGGAGCAGCAGCAGCAAGAGAGGGUUUCCAGAGGUCGCUGAGGCGCAACGACCUUUCGCUGGGCGCUCGAUUCAUUUCAUUUCGGGGUUUUCUUUUCCUUUGCUUGCUGCUUUUGCGUUUCGUUUGCAGCUGUUGUUUUUGCUUGAACGAAAGAUUUUUCUUAAAGACACCCCACCCCGUAAUAAAAAAAACCUUCCCUCUGCCCCUCCCCUGCCCAGUACAGCUCCCUCCCUGUCUUGGUUGUGUGAAACGCGUGUGAAAGUUCUGUAUUCCUGCCACAGCCACGCUUCAGCCAUUUUGUUUCUGGCUCCUGGAUCAGGGAUUCCUCCAUGCCGAUCCGAUCCGAUCCGAUCCGAUGCGAGCUGCGACGCAGUUGGAACUAGUCGUCUGGGUGGAGGGCAUGUGUGGCAGAAGCGUGUGCAGAGGAGAGGACCAGUCCUUUUUGGAACAAGCAAACAAAAGAAGUUUGCCAAAGAAAUUACGGUUCACUGGAAUCCAGAUUGUAGUCGUAAAUUAUGGAUUCCUAUUCAUACUUUAUAUAUGAUCCAAGCAGCAGUACUACAGCCGCCAGUUCCAUCGAUUUUGCACAGAUUUUAUGGCCAGGAAUCAUGUUUAUAAUCGUUGGAGUUGUAUGCUUUUUUUUGGGCCAUGUUUUUGAAAUAGAAUAAUUGAAAUUGGGUGAAUCGUAGAGGUAACCUACGGGGGGAAGAAAGGCCUUGAGCUGUUUGGUGUUCGCCCAAGUCUUUGGUUUCCUCAUUAAUGUCUCUGAGUACUUACAACAAAAUGCUGGCUGGGCCAAGUCAAAUGUAGGCGAAUGUCCAUGUCCUGACCUUGAUGGGAUGGCCGCUAAUUGCUUUAUGGUACAAAAGUGUACGUGUACGAGCAUGGCCUCGAGGCAAGGUUACGUUUUAUGAUUUGGCAAAUUUCCACUGGCCGGGCGAUGAGUUCCGUGUAAGGGACUGCGCAUGAAAGGCUGCUGAAGCGGAUGGACAUGGACGUGGACGCGAAAGGAUGCGCAAAGUGAGGAAGGCUGCGAAAGGAACCCAGAAGGAUGCAAGAAAGGAUAACUUUAUGAGAGGCUCGUAAAGACCCGUUGAGCAUUCGACCAUUGAGCAAUGGGUGAUUAUUUGCUUUGGUCACAAUAAAGGCGACGGGUGGCCAGAAUAAUGCUAGCAUAUCCUUGCAAUCCUCAAGCCAUUAGCAUGGCGAUUAGCGGCUUUUGCAUGGCUGCUUCGGCUCGCAGAGGGAAAGGGCUUCAACCGGACUUCCAGGAACGCCUGGGACCUCUUUUACUGGCUUCUUGCAGAAUAAUUUUUUAUGUUUUGCGUAAAAAAGUUCCUUAGAUUUGCGUAAAAAACGUUUGCCGACGAUUAGAGAAGUCAAUUUUGAUUCCAGGAACAUUCGUUGCGUCCUUUUACGGCGACUGUCAAAGGCUUUGUCCGACUGUAUCCCCGGUACAGGAUUGAGGCAAUGUUAUGCAAGCUUGUCCAGGGCUCUGGAUGGACGGCUGGGCUGCAGCUGAUUUCUCUGGAAAGGUGUCGCCUCCUUUUUCCUGGAAAAAGAUUUCCUUUUACCAUAGGAAAACCAAAGCGAAGGAAGGGGAGGCCAUCAUAAAGAAUUCCUUCCCUUAUCCAGACGAUAAGCUGACAAAAUUUCUUAUCAAAACAAAUAGGAGGCACUAAUAAAUUGUCGAUAAUUGUACAUCCAGCCCAAAAAGUAUCCCAGUGUAGACACAGCCCCGUUAAACUUAUUUUCCCAUUUUCUCAGCUCCCAUCCAUCCCCUCACCGUGGCACACUGAAAAUGGAAGAAAACAAUAAAAAAAACUGAGGAAAUUCUCAGCGAAAAAUGGUGCAAAGGGAUCAGAUCAGCAAGGAUCUUCGCUGCUGUGUUCGGGUACACUAAUCGUUUAUUAUGAUCAACGAGCUGAAUCAAUAAAACCGAAAACGAAGCGCCCACUUCAGGACAUGUCAUCGUGCUGGUUCCCACUCUCAUCCUUGCUUAUUGUGGUUCUCAUUCUCAGUCCCAUUCUCAUCCACAUUCCCAUUACCGUUCUCAGAUCAACCUGUUUCACAGGGUUGGAUGUCCUUUUGUGUGUGCCUUGGAGUGUUACCGUUGCUGGUUGCUGCUUGCUGGUUGCUGGUCGUGAGAAAUGAAUGCACUGAGGGGUAGGGUAACAGGUCCUGUCGCUGGCCCCUUAUGUUGCUGCUGUUGUUUGCUGUUUGCUGGUGUACAGGUAUGCAAAAGUCAAAUUGGUUUGCUAUGGGAAUUUGUCGAAGGUGUCUGGGGCUUGGGAAGGUCUUUUGCGAGCAAAUGUGUGUGCUGGGAAUUCGCUUAGUCCUCCCUUUGUCUGGUGUGAAUAUGCUGGAAGGAAUGAAAAUUGUGGGCGGCAGAGAAACGAUGAGACUUAGCCAUGAAGAAUGGAAAAGAAAGAAGGGGGUGAAGAAAGUUUAUGGGAAAUGGCUAGAUGGAAUCACAAUGUAUGUACACAGUUGACAUUCUGUUCAACGAAAUGUAAAAAUGAAUAAAUAUAAAGGCUAUGGCUUCAGGUGGAGUAUAAGCAUCUCUAAAGUUAUUCCUUUGAAAGUUCUUCCUAUGAAUUAACUAAAAUGUAACCCUCGAACAACUUUAGUUUUGUUGGUUCUCGAUCAACCUCAUCGUUGUUUGUUGAACUCUUUUAACAUUAAUUUCGGACUGUUUCCGAUUCUUUUUGCCAAUUUCCUGUCUGACGUACCAGGACACAGUUUGAAACAUUCACACAAAUUUCGUGCACUUCCUUCCGGUGUGCGGAACUGGCACGGAGAAAGGGAAAACAGAAAAGGGAGAAGAGCACGCAGAAGGAGAUGAGGAUGAGGAUAUUUUGUGUUCACAUCUCGGCCAGACAAUAAAUAGAAAUCUAAAUUGCAAAAUAUGGGCCAGCGGCACUGUCGAGCGAGAGAUAGAGAGAGAGAGAGAGAGAGAGAGAGAGAGGCCUGUGGGAACCAAUUUGAUGUGGGCCCACCCUCGCAUCGAUAAGAUCGUUAGCCGAACGAGAUCUGGGUCUGGGCCCGGACUCUCUAAGGAGGUGCUGAGAAAAUCUCGUUUGUUGUGGCAGAGCAAAAGAUGCAAAAGAUUUCAUUGUUAGCCUGGGAGCAUCGGCUGUGGCAGGGCCAUUGCUCGUUGGCAGUGGCAACAAUGUUUGUUUGUGCGGCAAAACAGGUUAACAGGUAUUUAGCCCAGGGAUCAGUCAGGAUUAGAGUGAUGCCCGAGGAUGCGCACACUCGAGUGGGUGGCCAAAUCAGCAAACAUGUGGAAUCCAUUGGGACUAUCGACGGAGCAUGUUCUAUGUCCCAUAAAUCAGUACGCCCCAUGAAAGCAGGACAUCGGCUUCAAGAAUCAUAGUUCAGAUUUCAUUUGCAUUCCUCUGGCUCCGACCUCGUCGACACAUUAGUCGAGCAAUUAAGCGAAGGACUCGGCUCGGGGCGGCACUCUGGGAAAAGGGAUAAUGGAGAAUGAAAAUAAGUAAAUGGAAUGAAAUGGUAAUUUGAUACGCGCACACUUAUGGAGCGCGUUUCCCAAGGACUCGCAUUGCCACAGCGACAACGGAGCCUCAAACAGGUAGCUCCGCGAGGCAGUCCUUUGAGUCCUGUGUUUCCUGCAGCUCUGUAGUCGCAACGAAUCGCAACGCAAGCAAACAAAUCUACAAUUUCAAUGAUGGAUCGAUUGUGACCUUCGCUUGAGCCUCCGUCGCUCUAUCGUCCUGCGGCCGGUGAGCGUUAAUUAGAUUUGCACCGAGCGGCGCUCAUCAAAGUGUUGGUCAGUGGAAAAAUCACAGACUCAAUUUCGGGCUAAACACCUGUGGGAAAGGACCUCACGCAGCCAAGGACAGCCAAGCGAACAUGCACUUGCACACAUCUCGCUCCCCAGGACGUUCCAUUGACUGACCUUUCCUCUUCUCUCCUUGGCGUUCCCACAUAGGGAGUCGAGUCCCGUUCCCAUUCCCAUUCCCAUCUUCGUUUUCAUUGUUAUUCGCAGUUCCUUUUAUUAAUUUGAAGUGCCCGCAACUCUGGCUGGGUUUUCCUUCCGGUAGAACUCCUCCUCUCCCUUCGGUUCCUCCUUUCAAGAUACCCAGUGCCAUUGUCCAGCCACGGCACUUCCUGUGGGUCACUUGGAACAACAUGUGGCCAAAACAAUCUAUUGUUAAUUAAUUGUGCUGGCCAAGGCGCAGGGGCAGAGGAAAUGAGUGCCUGUCAGUCAAUCGUCGAAGGAGGAGCCAAGGACUUUGCAGUAGCCAAUUAAAUAUUAGCCUUUUUUUUGGCUCAGGCAAGUCUCAAUUUCAAUUUGGUUAAACGCGAAAUGGAGUAGCAUCCACACCAGCUUAAUGACAGAUCUUUCGAGUAUUUGCGGUCCUGCCACCAUUGAACGACUACUUGGGGUACACUUCUGGUGAUAUUCCAUCAGGAAAUGUGCAGGGAUUCGCAUUUGCGACAAUUGCCGACCAUUUUCAAGCGAUGCACUGAGAAGGUAGAUGUAUUUGGACUCUGCAAGCAGCUCUUUGUUUACCUAAGCUCGUUUUUGUAUUUUUCAGAGAAUUGCAACCGUCAUGGAGUUGAAAAAUAAGUAUCUGCCAGAUUUUGCAACUCUCCGAUACACAGAUGUCCGAUGCUAUGAGCUGCAUACAUAUACUAAAUGGUGCAGCUAGAACAUGAAUGCCCGUGAUUACAACCUUCUUCCCGCAGGAGAUUGAGGAAGGAUGGCGGGUCCUUCUUGGGCUACGACCACGCGUACAGCUCUCCAUAGAAGUGGCCGAUUUCCAUCAUGAGUCCGAGUCGGAUAAGGCAGCAGGUUAAUAUUAGCAUUAAUAAAAUUAACAUAAAGAUCCAUAUUGUAAUCAUAUGUAAAUAAAUACAAAGAUGUUUUUACCAAUCCAAA
rnacentral:lncRNA from 1 species